rnacentral:rRNA from 1 species
AGCAGUCGCCGCGGUAAUACGGAGGGGGCUAGCGUUGUUCGGAAUUACUGGGCGUAAAGCGCACGUAGGCUGCUUUGUAAGUCAGAGGUGAAAGCCCGGGGCUCAACCCCGGAUGUGCCUUUGAGACUGCAGAGCUAGAACGUCGGAGAGGUGAGUGGAAUUCCGAGUGUAGAGGUGAAAUUCGUAGAUAUUCGGAAGAACACCAGUGGCGAAGGCGGCUCACUGGACGACUGUUGACGCUGAGGUGCGAAAGCGUGGGGAGCAAACAGGAUUAGAGACCCGCGUAGUCCCUGUCUCUUAUAC